rnacentral:piRNA from 1 species
UGGUCUGUCUUGGAUUCCCCUGA